rnacentral:rRNA from 1 species
CCUACGGGGCGCAGCAGUAGGGAAUUUUCGUCAAUGGGGGAAACCCUGAACGAGCAAUGCCGCGUGAGUGAUGAAGGCCCUAUGGGUUGUAAAACUCUGUUGUUUGGGAAGAAUUGUAAGAGUAGGAAAUGCCUCUUACUUGACGGUACCAUUCAAGAAAGCCACGGCUAACUACGUGCCAGCAGCCGCGGUAAUACGUAGGUGGCGAGCGUUAUCCGGAUUUAUUGGGCGUAAAGGGUGCGCAGGCGGGUUAUUAAGUCCAAAAUAAAAGCCCGAAGCUUAACUUCGGUUCGUUUUAGAAACUG